rnacentral:ncRNA from 1 species
GCAUGGCUGUCGUCAGCUCGUGUCGUGAGAUGUUGGGUUAAGUCCCGCAACGAGCGCAACCCUCGCCUUUAGUUACCAUCAUUCAGUUGGGGACUCUAAAGGAACCGCCGGUGAUAAGCCGGAGGAAGGUGGGGAUGACGUCAAGUCCUCAUGGCCCUUACGCGCUGGGCUACACACGUGCUACAAUGGCAGAUACAGUGGGCAGCAAUCCCGCGAGGGUGAGCUAAUCUCCAAAAUCUGUCUCAGUUCGGAUUGCACUCUGCAACUCGAGUGCAUGAAGGCGGAAUCGCUAGUAAUCGCGGAUCAGCAUGCCGCGGUGAAUACGUUCCCAGGCCUUGUACACACCGCCCGUCACACCAUGGGAGUUGGAUUCACCCGAAGGCGUUGCGCUAACUCAGCAAUGAGAGGCAGGCGACCACGGUGGGUUUAGCGACUGGGGUGAAGUCGUAACAAGGUAGCCGUAGGGGAACCUGCGGCUGGAUCACCUCCUUU